rnacentral:rRNA from 1 species
AGCGAACGCUGGCGGCAGGCUUAACACAUGCAAGUCGAGCGCCCCGCCAGGGGAGCGGCCGACGGGAGAGUAACACGUGGGAACAUACCUUUUGGUUCGGAACAACUGAGGGAAACUUCAGCUAAUACCGGAUAAGCCCUUACGGGGAAAGAUUUAUCGCCGAAAGAUUGGCCCGCGUCUGAUUAGCUAGUUGGUGAGGUAACGGCUCACCAAGGCGACGAUCAGUAGCUGGUCUGAGAGGAUGAUCAGCCUCACUGGGACUGAGACACGGCCCAGACUCCUACGGGAAGCAGCAGUGGGGAAUAUUGGACAAUGGGGGCAACCCUGAUCCAGCCAUGCCGCGUGAGUGAUGAAGGCCUUAGGGUUGUAAAGCUCUUUUGCCCGGGAAGAUAAUGACGGUACCGGGAGAAUAAGCCCCGGCUAACUUCGUG